GAUGAACGCUGGCGGCGUGCCUAAUACAUGCAAGUCGAGCGAACAGACGAGGAGCUUGCUCCUCGGACGUUAGCGGCGGACGGGGGAGUAACACGUGGAUAACCUACCUAUAAGACUGGGAUAACUUCGGGAAACCGGAGCUAAUACCGGAUAAUAUAUUGAACCGCAGGGUUCAAUAGGGAAAGACGGUUUUGCUGUCCCUUAAGGAUGGAUCCGCGCCGCAUUAGCUAGUUGGUAAGGUAACGGCUUACCAAGGCAACGAUGCGUAGCCGACCUGAGAGGGUGAUCGGCCACACUGGAACUGAGACACGGUCCAGACUCCUACGGGAGGCAGCAGUAGGGAAUCUUCCGCAAUGGGCGAAAGCCUGACGGAGCAACGCCGCGUGAGUGAUGAAGGUCUUCGUAUCGUAAAACUCUGUUAUUAGGGAAGAACAAAUGUGUAAGUAACUAUGCACGUCUUGACGGUACCUAAUCAGAAAGCCACGGCUAACUACGUG
rnacentral:rRNA from 1 species